CACACAAUUGAGAAAGAAACAGAGAGAGGGAAGAGAUGCUGCUCCGCUGCCGUCGUGACGUAACCACCGAACUGCCGCACUCUGCGCUGUCCAGCACGCCGCCACCGCCGCGUCUCGCCUGUGCCGUCACCUCCCCUGAGCGGUUGCCGUCAUCGCGCAAGAAAGGAGGUGGAGCUCCCGAGGGGUCGUUGAGCCGCUACAGUCGCCGUCGUCUCGGCUGUCCCCACCGCCGUUGGACCCGUCGCACGCGUAGUCGUCCAAGGAGUGUCGCUGACCAUCGCUGCUGCCACUAGGGUUUAUCGCCGUUGCUCUACCUUGCUAUUGCCAUCAGAGCCGCCGCUGAGGAAGGGAGCCCGAACGCCAUCGCUGGGAAGGAGGCUUGGCCGUCGCCGAACAGAAUGCGAUGGUACUGAGAGGCAUCACCGUUGAUGACGCCAAAGCUCGACAAGGGCUGUAGCGCCGUCGCCGAACCACCACGCCACUGUAGCUGUCGCCGGGAAGGUUGUUGGAGCUUGCUGAGGAUACUGUUCUGAUUCUAAAGCAAUUUAUCCAUGUCACUAUUCAUCUUUAUCUCCUGUUUUGCCUCUGCCUCUGAAUUCUGCAAGUUGCCGGAGCCUUCUGUCACCGGGAACCAACAUUCGAGCUGCCCAGGAAACCACAAUUAGAACCACUACUAUUUUGGUAAGCUUCACCCUGUUUUUGAUUCUUCCUUGUCGCCCAAUUUGUCUCUGUUGUGAAGCCUGUCGUUAAGACUGUUUGUAUUAAAUAAAAUUGUCACUUUAAGUUACUCUACACCGCCGCAGCUGCCACCGAGGUCAACAAAAUUGUCUUCUUUAAAUUUCAGAUCCUGCAUAAUUGAUUAGUGAAUGAGCUUUCACGAAUGAUAUUCUUCUCAAAAUAUCAGAGGUUUCUGAUCCCCCUUCCCAGUUUAAAAAAUUAAUGAAUUACUUGAGAUCAGUUUGUGAAUGCUUUCCAGUUAAUAGCUGCAAUAAUUGUUGUCUUUGGAUUCUGGUUAUUACGAUACAAAUCUUGUGCAGGUAGUGCCUAAACUCUGAUGUGUAAUUUUGCUUUCACUUCAAAUAAAGUGGGCUCCAUCUAAUUUUUUUAUCUCCCCUAAUAAGUAUCAUGAAAAGCUUCUCCUAAUGGAAAUUUCGUAUUGUCUUUAGAAAUUAUGUAUAACACACUCAAGUUUUGAAUGAUUCACUACUCAGCCUUUCCAAUAAUCAAUAAUCAUAUAUGUGAAAAGCAUGUGUUAGAAUUCAUGACUUGUUAACUAACUAAGUUUAAAAAAGUUUAGGUUGGAGUUUAUUUUUGGGACAAGUUAGAAUAAUAAUAAUGGUAGAAAUUUAAAAUAAAGGAGCAUGAAAUAGUAAGAUCACGUGACUUGUUCUUUCUUUCUUAUUACUCUUAUAAGGCUUAGCUUUGUAUAUAGUAGUUAUAUACACUAUUAAUUUAUUAUACAGUGUGAACAUAUAAGAAAUUCAUCAUUUCAAAGGUCAACUAAAACCCGUUGUAGUAAUUUAAGUUUAAAUGCUAUAUUAUUUAUCAAUAACAAUACAAAUAGUUAUUAUAAUCUUAUAAGUUGCAUUACUUUCUACUGAAAAAAAAUGUCAGAGUCAGGCAUCAUCUCUUCAGUACAUCACAUGCAAGCUUUCUUGCAUAACAAAUUGGAAGCACGUAAUUUUAUUUCAUAUUUUUAAGAUUUUUAAGAUUUGUGUGUUGUUGCUUGUAUUACAUUGAAAAUAUUGAUAUGGUUAAAUAUUGAUAAGGUAUUGUAUAGUACAUGAAAUAUUGUUUAUGUUGGAUGAUUUAUAGGUACUAAAAAGAUCGAAUUCGUAAGAAAUGUCUUGGCACCAUCGAGGGUAGAUGUAUGAUAGGUUGAAUCCAACAAAAGGGAGUAUUAAACCUGAGUUUUAUGACAAGGUUGAGGAGUUUAUAGAAACGAUUAGUAAGUUAGAUGUUGUGAAGUUGGAAGAAAAGUGUAGAUGCCCAUGUGUUAAGUGUAGAUGCACAAACUAUAAAGAGCUGAACAUUAUUUAGAUGCAUUUGUGGAAAAAGGGGUUUAUGCAUACAAUUGGCAUCAUCCAUAUCCACCCAUUGUUCCAAAAAGAGCUUAAUACUAGAUUAUUUUCUGGUCUUAUAUUAUAUUAUAGUAUCUUUUUUAUGUGCAGAGCCACUUUUUUAUUGAUGAUGAUAAGGAGGAGUUUUUUUAGAGGGUUUUUAAGUAUAGGACAAGUAAGCGAUUUAGCCAAAUGAUGUCGGAUAUCCGUGAGAGUGUGGAUACAAACCACAAAUGGCUAAUUCCUGCUUACAAAAAGGUGUUGGAAAGGUAUUAGGAAACAGAUGAGAAAUGGAAAAAUAUAAGGAAAAAAGCAAGGGAGAAUCGAGCAUCACUUUUAGGUGGUUCUAUCCAUUGCAGUAGUUCUAUUCCAUUGAGCUCAACUAUAGAGAGGAUGAAGAAGUAGUUGGGCCGUACACCAACUCAUGAGGAAGUCUUCAAGAAAACUCACACACUUAAAAAUGACAAGUCUAAAUGGGUAGACAAGCACUCUCAAGACACUCAUGUGAGAUAUAGUAUAAAUAUUAAGUGGAUAGAUUUUUCACUACUACUAUUUAGUUUCUUCUCUGUUACUUAUUAUUAUUAGUAGUAGUUGUUGUGUUUUUUAAUUUUGUUUUUAUAAUAGAAUUACAUCCAAAAACCAGAGUUAUAGUACCUUUGUUUUUUAACAUUUCAAGCAAAAUGAAACUCUAAUUUCUUCCA